rnacentral:lncRNA from 1 species
AGAGCCACAAACAUCUGUAAAUUCAUCAACCUAGAAGUCAACCAAAAAUAUUGGGUCCCAAAGCCCACAAAUCAGUUCAAGCAUUAAUGGCUAAUACAUAUCCUUCCCAAAAAAUAGAGUACUAGAUUUCUAAACUAACGUAUAGAUUGCACCACCAAUGUCAGACUUCAAGCAUCUCUAUCAUUAUAACCAACAGCCUCCUCAUGAUCAAUAUCAAAUUGGACUGCAUUGAAAAUAAAGUAUUAUAUGCAUUAGAAUAGACUUUAGUCAGAAAAUAUGCUAUUACAACCUUAUAUGACUAAAUUUGAAUGAAUAGUCAUACACAACAAUGCUUUAAGAUACUUCGAAUUAGUUUGGGUAUCUUGGUUUGGUUUUUUGUACACAUACUUCAAAUAAUUUUACAAUUUGAAGUGAUAUUUACUUUUCAGAAUUUCCAAUGCAUGUUUCUUGUAUAUGCUUUCUUUUUGAGUUUGCAAACAAGGCGCAAAUGAAAGUAAGAGGACAUAGAGGUGCUGAUCCUAUUUUUGAUGAAAUUUUGGUUACAAUUAAUCUAUACGUGAUCAUAUAUAGUCAAAUGUUUAUAAAUGAGAGCAUUUUCUUUCAGCUACUACUUUUGGUUAUUGAGUUUGUGAUAAAAAUAACUGAAUUCCAAUAUAUAACUCAACUUUGACAUCUAUUUCUAGGUAAAAAACAGGAUCGAAAGGAUUUGUGGCUGUUUUAAAACAAUAUUGGAAACUUAAAAUAAUUUUCAUAUUAAAACAAUAUUAUCCAGUUUUCAAAGAAAGAAAAGGGUCCAAGUAACUUAAACCACAAUGAGAAAAAUAACUUGGAAAAGUUCUUGCCUUUGAAUGUUAAAUGUCUAAGCAGUUAACAAGUUGUGUAUAAUCUAAAAUAUUGGAAAGUCAAUUGCAUAAUUGCACUUUAUUUGUAAUAUCUACAGAUAUGCUCAAAGAGGAGCAAGGGAAUCAACAUGUAUUUUCUAAUAUUCUUUGUGGAAGAAACAUAUGAAAGAGAGUAAGCAUCACCUUCUGACAAAGUGAAAUAGCCUCUAAGUUGUGUUCCUGCUCUUCAAUUAAUCUUCUCUCAAGCUCCUUAACCUGAAAAUGGAGAAGAGAACUGGUUAUUUAAGCUUCUCUGGCCACCAGUUGAAGCAUGAAAUGGUGCUGAUGUUGCUAGUUGGAUGAACAACCUUUUGUUGAGAAUCAAAGGGAGGCUAAUGUUGCUGAAGCCAAUGCUCUUCUAGCUACCAGAAAGGCUGGAUGGGCUUAGCAGGCAAAGAUGGCUGAAGUGGAGGCUGAAAAAGCUGCAGCUAUUAGGGAGGCAGAGUUACAAAAAAGAAGUUGAGAGGAAAAAUGCAUUGGCCAAGACUGAGCAACUAAAGGCUAAACAACUCAGCAAGGCUACUGUUGAUUAUGAGAUUAAGGUUCAAGAGGCAAAUUCAGUUCUCUACAAGAAGCAAAAGGAAUCUGAGGCAGUGCUAUACGAGAGACAAAAGGCUGUAGAAGCUCAAAAAGUGGUAGCAGAAGCUCAACUAUAUGCAGUUCAACAAGCUGUAGAUGCAGAACUUUAUGCAAAAAAGAAAGAAGCUAAAGGAAUGAAGGCUCUUGCAGAAGCACAAGGAUUCAAAAUCCGCACCUUAUUGACAUCAUUGGGUGGAAACUACAAUGCUUUUAAGAGAUUGUCUGAUGAUUGAAAGUGGCAUGUUCAAGGACAUUGCCAAAAUCAAUGCUGAGGCGAUCCAAGGACUACAACCUAAGAUUAGUGUUUGGUCAAAUGGAGAGGCCAGAGAUGGAUUAGGUGCUACAAAUUCAGCCAUGAAAGAAACAACAUUAGUUUACGGUGCAUUGCCACCUUUGUUCCAGACUGUGCACGAGGACACAAGUAUGUUGCCUCCGGCUUGGAUGGGCAGUCUACCUAGUCCUGGUGCAGGCAAGGCUAUAACAAACCAGCCAGAGAAUUAGAUAUCAGGACAGUUGCUUGUUAUAGUGCAGUUUCUUAGGUGGAGAUUUUCCAACAAUAAGCUUCUAGACAGUUACUCAUUUCAUUGUUCUUGUUAGAAGAAUUUACUUGUUAUUCUAGUACAUAUUUGACAAAAAUUUUUAUCACUGCUGGAUUGCAGUAGAAUGGUCAUCCAUGUCUGAUUAAGUUCAUUUUGUGAUUUCAAUUUAUGGUUUUCAGCAUUCCCACAAAAAAAAAAUUUUGUAAAAUUACCUUAUGAAUCUAGCACACCAAUAACUUACUAUGGAAGACCUUGUUCUUGAAAUUUUAAUUGAAAUAAAAGAAAGAAUUUUAAGUCCCAGGUUAGCAGGACCACUGAAGAUGAAGUCUACAACUUUAGAUAUCUUCUUUCAGGUUUUAUUAAUGAAGGAAUUUCAGGUGCUUAAAUAUCACUUCUUGUCUAACAUGGAUUUGGGAAGUACAGUGCUAAAGAUGGUAGAGUAAUUUCAGUGGCUAAAGGAAGGCAAGAUAGUCUGAGUUUCAUUUUAUUUGCUUCAACUUAAGACACAUGGGUUAACUUGCCACCUCCCCACUGUCACUCAUUUUGGUUGUAUGUCUACAUUUCCUUUUGUGUGCAUCAGCCUAUGCCUGAGGGGCGAGUGAUUUGCAGCUAGGAGGUUAAAUCAGUAAAGUUUUAAGUCAGACAAGAAAGCCGAAAAUGCAAAUAAUGUAUUAAAAAGAUUUGGAGAAAUUAGCUUAACUAUUUAUGAAACGAACUUGGAUGUCAUACCAUAGAAAGUUAUAGGCAGAAGUCUCAGUAGGAACAAGAUUAAACAAGCCAAAGAAUAAAAAAUUACCUUAUGAAUCACAUAAGGUAAUCCUUUAUCAGAGAAACAUCCUGCAAACAUGUCAAAAUGGAAAACCAUGACAGCGAAGUAAACGAAACAACACCAGAUUUUGAAGAUAGCAAAAUUGGCCACAAUAUAUAUCUACAAAAGGGUAGACAAAUUUUCAUAGCUUAGAUAGAACACAAUACAAAACAUCAAAGUAUAAAUAAACAAAAGAAUUGGAAUAUGAAGUACAGCAAAAUUAGCACUUUUGUGUAGAUUUCAGUAAACUAUAACCUUUGGGCCAUAAAGAAGUUAUCUUUUCCUUUAGAGAUAACACGAUUGUAGAAGGACUAAACUUGCUUGGUCCAAUGUCACUACCAUCAGCAAGCCUGAAUUUCAUCUCAACCAAAUCUUCCACAGCCAUCGAACAACCUCAACACAUUAAACCAACCUCAAGUUCCUCGAGUCCACGAACUCAAAUCAUCUCCAACUCCACAAAAGGAUGAAAAAGCAACAAUCUUUCUUGCUUUUACCGAAAAACCAAAUCAAAAUGUAAUGAAAUGGGAGCUUAUCUAAGGACAGAGGCAGGAGCUAGGUAGCAGGAACAAAGGGGGCGUGACUGUCAGCAGAGGAAGGCAUGAUCACUGGGCCAGAAGGUCAUCGAAGGCGUGAUCAGAGAAUCACGCCUUUCCUGGAAUUCAGUUGCUCUAACAGAAAUUCAAAAGCGCGGCAACUCGCAGAUGCAUUGGACACGUGUCUUAUUCUUAUUAGUCUAGCUAGUAAUCUGUUAGGAUCUGUUAACAUUAAAAGCAGGCCUGUCUGCUUGAUUUUAGUUAGUUUUUUGAAAUCAUUCAUUCAGAUUCAUCUGAAUUAGCUUGAGGAGCAAUCCUCAGUUUCCCUCCCAAUUUUCCUUCGAUUCUUACGCCUUCUUAGCUAAACCCAUCCUUUCUGUUCUUGUAAUUUUGGUUUCCAAGAUUCAAUUAAUGAAAGAUCCAGUUCAUACGUUUACUGUUCCAUUGAUUCAUUGUUAAUUGGUUCCUUUUAUUUGAACUUGUUUCCUUCUGGUUCCUGCAAAAUUCUGGCUUCUCUGGUUUCUGUACCAUAACACAAAACUGAAGCGUUCACCCCUUUAAAAACUCCAAUUUGAGAUUUCAUAAAAAGCCAAAAUGGACUAGCUCGUUUAUUAUUCUUUUCAAUUAGAAAUAGCACUUCCAAAGAGACAUGAGAAAUUUGACCAAAUUUUGCCAAAACCCAAAUCAAGAUUCACAGGAGUCUAGCCAAAAGUCACUAACAAAGAAUCAAUUCAUGACAAUCCAACAAAUCUAUAAAACCAGAACAAAAAGGGAUUCAAGAACCUAAAAACUAAAUUUGACGAGAAACAGAGAAGGUGCAACUAGCCAUAGCCACGAACAUCCCUACCAUGCAAUGCAAAAUUAGACACAAAUAUUGAAAUUACCUCAAACUAUGCCUUCAAUCCCUAACUUCCCGUUUUCCCCAAAUUUCAAGCUCUAAACUCCAGCUUUCACCCAAAUUUUCAAGCCCCUAAUUUCUAAUUUCUUGCCACCAAGCCAAUGCAACAGCCGAAUUAGGGAUGUUGGUGGUGCGAGCUCAACAAAGUUACCCAAAUUGAAAGUGCUUGCACUAAUUGUUUAUGGAAGACAAUCGAAAACUCUAGUUCAUGGACGGGUUUGGUAGUGCGAGCUUGAUACAGAGUAGUACAUUCGGUGAAGUGAGGAGGGUAAAGAGAGGGGGAGGAGAUGUCUGAAAUUUUGGCUAAGUGUUUUGGACAUAAAGUGCAUACUAAUGAAGCAACGAUGUCGUUUCCUUAAAACUCUUUCAGCGCGCCACGCCUCUUGAAUUUUUCAAUUUGCCGCUCUUAGUUCCGAAUGUAUAAAUAACACGCCUUCUUCUUAUUUAGAUGCAAAACAUUCACGCUUUCUUCGUUCUUUCUCCUAUCUCUCUAUUUUUUCUUUUUCUCAACUUUAUGUUAUGUAAUUAAGUUCUUCUAUUGUUUUUUUUUUCACUCUUAGGUUGUAUUAAAAUAAUAGAAUAUGAAAAUUUAGUGUGUUUGCGCAAAAUUUUUUAGCAUUUUUAACUAAUAUAGCACUCUUUCUAAUUUAUUAUAUAAUAAAAUAGUACAAAAACUAAAAAUGUUGUUAGAAAUAUAUUUAUGAUUUGAAAAAAUAAACAUUCUUUUAAUCCAAAUCUUUUCGGUACUCAUUUUUUGGCGCUAUCAAUUAUGUAUGACUUAUAGUCUAACAAAACCUGACGAUCGAAUUAGUUGAUUGAACAAGCAAAAUAGUUUACAAAUACAUGUAUGAAAUGCUAAAUGUAUUUGGUAUAAGUACCAAUUCAUAAAUGAUAAAUGUGACUAUUAUAAUUAGUAACAACUUUUUGAUCAUGCAAAUGUUAGGAUUAGACUUAAUUUCAUAUUCAGUUAUUGUUAAAUUCUACUAUUAACGACCUCUAUUUUCAGAUUGUGCUAUUUAUUAAUUUUCCACCAUGUUGUCAUCAGGAUAAAUAGGGAAUGUAUGAAAUUUUUUAGAUUUAUAACAAAUUAUUACCUAAAUUUGGAAAAAUUAUAAAAUAUGUAUACAUAGUUUAUUAAGAUACCUUCUGUAUUUUGCUAAUAGAAAAAAGGGCUAAAUUGCAACACCAUAGGGUGCCCUAACAGAAUUAAUAAAAUUCGUGUAUUACAUAUGGGGAUAAAUUGUAAAAGUUAGAGUGCUAUAGUUGACUUAAUGAAAUUUGUGAAUUAAAUAUGGAGCUAAAUUGCAAAAGUUAGGGUGUAAUAAUAGAAUUAAAGAAAUUGGUGUACUACAUAUGGGGCUAAAUUACAAAAGUUAAGGUGUCAUAAUAGAAUUAAUAAAACUUUUUUAUCACAUUUGAGACUAAAUCGCAAAAGUUAGGGUGGCAUAGUAGAAUUAAUGAAAGUGAUUUAGGAACAAAUACAUUAGACAGUGACAACUAAUUGUUGUCACUACCUCUAAAUUGGUAGAGUGACAAUGACGAUGUUGAAAGUUGUCACUAUAUUGACCAUUUUAGUGACAACAUUUUCCCAAAUUGUCACACAGAUAAUUUCCCACCACACCAACAGGUUGCGCGCUACCCAUGUUGUGACGACUAAUCCCAUGUUGUCACAGAUGACACUAAUGAUAAGUCUAUGUGAGGUCAUCUGUGACGACAUCAAAAGUCAUCACUGAAUUAGGUCAAUUAUGACAAGUUUUUCAUCGUCACUCAUAAUAUUGUCACAAAAGGCCAAAUUUCUUGUAGUGGCAGCUUUGCCAUCUUCUGGUAUUCUGAUCAUAACUGGAGCUACGGUUAUCAGAUUGAGAAGAAGUUUAUAGCGUUUCGAAGCUAAGACAUAUACCUACAUUUCUUAUGAAGACAUCGACACUCAGUUCUCGCAUUUUCAAGGUAAAAAAUGUACAGUCAGAAGCACCUUCUGUUUAACUCUCUCGGCUGAAGCUAAAAGAAUUUCAGCAUGGCUUAGCAGCUGCAUUUUUCCCUUUUCAUUCCUCCUCAGUUUUCUGUUCUAGAUUAUGUACAAAGCAUAUUGAUUCAUCUUCAAGUAACUUAAGCAAAACGGGGCAGUUUAUGCUCAAAACUCAAAAGGAAAGCUGACUAAAAUUCAGCUCUGCGCAAGGCUGCAAAACUGAUGUACCGCAGCUUGCCGCAGAGUUCUUUCACGUAUGGUUCUCUCCAUUUCACACUCAUUAACCUACGACUGACCCUUAAACUGAAGAAGGAAACAAAUAAUCUGUUGCAUGCAUCCCAUAACGUUAUUAACCCAAGAAAUUUUGACAUCAGUUGCAAGUUCCAGCUCAACACUCAGUUUCUGCAAUUUUUCUGAGAUUUCACAGUUAUUGCCCGGCAUUUACUUCAGCUACAAGCUCUUCUCACUCUAGUUAUCAACCCUGCUCUAAGUUCUCAGGUACGACAAGAAAAUAGCAUAUAGUUUGAACUUCUAGCAGAAGAUUUCUCCCUACUUUCGGUUAACAAGCUGCAUGAUCAGUUUUUUUUCCUCGGAUGGAGCUGAAAGGUAACCACUCCCUAAACAAGUUUUCCCUUCAGUCAAACUUAAUUUUUCUUAGCUACAUUCCAGCAUUCCACAGUAAUAUCCAAGUGUACUAGUUGUUUAGAAGGUUAUUGCAGUCACGUACCUCGUUCCUUCCUCCUAACGUUUGAAAAAAAAUGCAGAUCGCACGUUUGGUUUCCUGCUCCUAGCUUCGUCCCUCUAACUCUUGCACCGGCUCUCCCUUUUUUUCUCACGUUUGGCUCGCGGUGUUGAGGCUACCAGCUGAAGAAAUGAAGCGAGCCAGUGCCUCUCUCUCACUCUCACUCUCUCGGUUGCAGACUGGAGGCAAAGAGAAACCAGAAAUGUUUUCUUUUCCUCUCACUCGAUUAUGUUUGAGCUGAAUGGGUGUCCAAAUCACUCUCUCAGCUUUGCUCCUAGUGCGUGGUUGGUAAGAAAAGAAAUGAAAUGUUUUUUCUUCACUCGGCCACCGCCCAAAC